CCCCUUGGUGACAUCAUCAGAAUUGCUGAUUUUUAGCCAAUCCAAUGCUUUCCCAUGGGGAAAACAUUGGAUUGGCUAAAAUCGACAAGGGGGCGGGGCCAAACACCAUUUUGGCCAAUCAGCACCUCCUUGGUCCAUUGAUUCAAUGCAUCUCUAUGAGGAAAAUUCAGCGUCCCCAUGCAGAGCGUGGAGACGCUAAACGAAAGGGCUGCCUACUGUGCACCGCCAAGCCAGGUAGCACCUCCAGUAGCCAUCUAAGGAGUGACCACUUGGAGGUGUCCCUAGGGGCAAUGUAAAC